AGCUUUGCGCAGCGGCAGUAUCGUAGCCAAUGAGGUUUAUCUGAGGCAUGAUUAUUGCUAAUUGAAGUGAAGGAGGUUUGUUUGUUUGUUUGUUUGUUUAUUAUCUAUAUAGCUAUCUAGUAAAAGAGCAAAAGUUUCCUUUACAAGG